GCUUAACACAUGCAAGUCGAGGGGCAGCAUGGUCUUAGCUUGCUAAGGCCGAUGGCGACCGGCGCACGGGUGAGUAACACGUAUCCAACCUGCCGUCUACUCUUGGACAGCCUUCUGAAAGGAAGAUUAAUACAAGAUGGCAUCAUGAGUCCGCAUGUUCACAUGAUUAAAGGUAUUCCGGUAGACGAUGGGGAUGCGUUCCAUUAGAUAGUAGGCGGGGUAACGGCCCACCUAGUCUUCGAUGGAUAGGGGUUCUGAGAGGAAGGUCCCCCACAUUGGAACUGAGACACGGUCCAAACUCCUACGGGAGGCAGCAGUGAGGAAUAUUGGUCAAUGGGCGAGAGCCUGAACCAGCCAAGUAGCGUGAAGGAUGACUGCCCUAUGGGUUGUAAACUUCUUUUAUAAAGGAAUAAAGUCGGGUAUGGAUACCCGUUUGCAUGUACUUUAUGAAUAAGGAUCGGCUAACUCCGUGCCAGCAGCCGCGGUAAUACGGAGGAUCCGAGCGUUAUCCGGAUUUAUUGGGUUUAAAGGGAGCGUAGAUGGAUGUUUAAGUCAGUUGUGAAAGUUUGCGGCUCAACCGUAAAAUUGCAGUUGAUACUGGAUAUCUUGAGUGCAGUUGAGGCAGGCGGAAUUCGUGGUGUAGCGGUGAAAUGCUUAGAUAUCACGAAGAACUCCGAUUGCGAAGGCAGCCUGCUAAGCUGCAACUGACAUUGAGGCUCGAAAGUGUGGGUAUCAAACAGGAUUAGAUACCCUGGUAGUCCACACGGUAAACGAUGAAUACUCGCUGUUUGCGAUAUACAGCAAGCGGCCAAACGAAAGCGUUAAGUAUUCCACCUGGGGAGUACGCCGGCAACGGUGAAACUCAAAGGAAUUGACGGGGGCCCGCACAAGCGGAGGAACAUGUGGUUUAAUUCGAUGAUACGCGAGGAACCUUACCCGGGCUUAAAUUGCAGAUGAAUUACGGUGAAAGCCGUAAGCCGCAAGGCAUCUGUGAAGGUGCUGCAUGGUUGUCGUCAGCUCGUGCCGUGAGGUGUCGGCUUAAGUGCCAUAACGAGCACAACCCUUGUUGUCAGUUACUAACAGGUUCCGCUGAGGACUCUGACAAGACUGCCAUCGUAAGAUGUGAGGAAGGUGGGGAUGACGUCAAAUCAGCACGGCCCUUACGUCCGGGGCUACACACGUGUUACAAUGGGGGGUACAGAGGGCCGCUACCACGCGAGUGGAUGCCAAUCCCCAAAACCUCUCUCAGUUCGGACUGGAGUCUGCAACCCGACUCCACGAAGCUGGAUUCGCUAGUAAUCGCGCAUCAGCCACGGCGCGGUGAAUACGUUCCCGGGCCUUGUACACACCGCCCGUCAAGCCAUGGGAGCCGGGGGUACCUGAAGUGCGUAACCGCGAGGAGCGCCCUAGGGUAAAACUGGUGACUGGGGCUAAGUCGUA
rnacentral:rRNA from 1 species